rnacentral:tRNA from 3 species
GGGGUGCUAGCUCAAUGGUGAAGAGUAUCGGUUUUGCACAUCGAAGGUUACAGGUUCAAGUCCUGUGCACUCCA